UACGUAGGGUGCAAGCGUUAAUCGGAAUUACUGGGCGUAAAGCGUGCCCAGGCGGCUAUGCAAGACAGAUGUGAAAUCCCCGGGCUUAACCUGGGAACUGCAUUUGUGACUGCAUGGCUAGAGUACGGUAGAGGGGGAUGGAAUUCCGCGUGUAGCAGUGAAAUGCGUAGAUAUGCGGAGGAACACCGAUGGCGAAGGCAAUCCCCUGGACCUGUACUGACGCUCAUGCACGAAAGCGUGGGGAGCAAACAGG
rnacentral:rRNA from 1 species